rnacentral:rRNA from 1 species
GACGAACGCUGGCGGCGUGCUUAACACAUGCAAGUCGAACGGAAAGGCCCCCACCUUGGUGGGGGUGCUCGAGUGGCGAACGGGUGAGUAACACGUGGGUGAUCUGCCCUGUACUUCGGGAUAAGCUUGGGAAACUGGGUCUAAUACCGGAUAGGACCAUGGUUUAGUGUCUCAUGGUGGAAAAAUUAUUGUUUUGGUGCAGGAUGAGCUCGCGGCCUAUCAGCUUGUUGGUGGGGUAAUGGCCUACCAAGGCGUCGACGGGUAGCCGGCCUGAGAGGGUGGACGGCCACAUUGGGACUGAGAUACGGCCCAGACUCCUACGGGAGGCAGCAGUGGGGAAUAUUGCACAAUGGGCGCAAGCCUGAUGCAGCGACGCCGCGUGGGGGAUGACGGCCGUCGGGUGGUAAACUCCUUUCGUUAGGGACGAAGCCACACCUUUUUUGGGUGUGGUGACGGUACCUUUGUGAAGAAGCACCGGCUAACUACGUG